AGCACUUAUAACUCGAGAACGGCUGGACCGAUUGUCAUGGUUUUUGAUUUGUUGGAUUUGUUUCCGUCGCGAGUAGCAGAAUACAUCUUAAAAACAACUUAUGGCCUGUUUGUUGCGGCCUUAAAGCCAAAACUUUAUUUUUUCUGAAGACAUCAUGUGUGUGUUCAGAAAUUUGUAUAAAAAGUUCAUUUGUUCUGUUGUUGUUCAUUUGUAUUUGUUUAAUCAUAUUUAAUAUUUGUUUU
rnacentral:lncRNA from 1 species